CAUAGACCAGUGGUGAUGACUCACCUGGUCCAGCCACAACAUAGACCAGUGGUGAUGACUCACCUGGUCCAGCCACAACAUAGACCAGUGGUGAUGACUCACCUGGUCCAGCCACAACAUAGACCAGUGGUGAUGACUCACCUAGUCCAGCAGCAGUGGACCAGGACUCCAUCCAAUCCCAUGCCCACUGCCUUCCCUAUAGCAUGCCAUUCAAGACAGGAGCAGUCCACACAGAACACUCCAGAGAACGAAAACAUUGCAGAGCCUGAAAGAAGAAGGCUGUCCUACCAG